ACAAAUAAAACUCGUACACACGAAACCCAUGACACUUUCUUUACGGUAGUCAUUUCUCUUCAAUUCCUCUUCCAAGAACCAUUAACCAAACAAUAGGUCAUUAUUGAAUUGCAUUGUUUCACCUAUCAAUUUCAUUUUCGACACAUCAUUUAAGCUAAGGAAUUCAAGGUACAAAAUGCCACCAAAAAGAAAGGACACAACUCAAGAGAAAUGAAGUUUGAAGGUUGGUGAGACAUCUACCAGUCGCAAAAAGGCAAAUGAAAAUCUAGAUGAUGGGGAUAUAGCACGAUUUUUGAAUGUUGAAAAUUACGAAAAUUUGGAGAUAAAGUGGAAAGAUAAGAAAUUUUACCAAGAGAGGAGGGUCAUAACUGGUGAUUUUGAAGAACGCUACUCGAGAGAAUUAUACACCACUUCAGUUGGGAAAAGGUUAUUGGUAUAUCUCACGCGACAUAUUGUACAUUGGUAAAGGAUUUUUUCACCAAAUACAAUGCUAACAUUGAUAACCCAUAAUCUUCCCACAGAAAUCAAACAUGGGUUAGAGGAAAAUGGAUCCGGUUCAGCCCAACGAUAAUUGACAGAUAUUAUGGGUUGAACCAUACUCACAAGACAUGGCACCGGUAGCUUGUUUUAGUGAGGUUGAACGGCCACUUAAUUUCAUCUCGUUUUCUACAUAAUAAUUGACUUCAGAGCUCAGACUCUUGCAUAUCAUCUUCUAUACCAAUAUUUACCCUACGUCCUAAAGGAAAAAAAUUCAAUGAAGAAAGGGCUAGGCUACUUUAUCACAAGGCAAGAUUGCGGAAAUUACUUGGGAGCCCGUAUACAUACGUUUAUACGGGAGUUGGCCUCAUCUAUCGAUCCUUAGCGAGGCAUUAUAUUCCCAUGCUUGAUCAUGGAAUUUGUUUGAUAGUCGAGAUACCACUGCUGUCAAGAUAGGAUAGUGCUGCUCUAGAUGCCCUAAUCAGCAAAAGAACAAUUGACAAUUCAGAAGCCAUAGUGGCGAGAGCAAAAAGAGCACAUAAUACCGAGCAGGCACCUCCACCACAACAGCAAGCUCUAGAUGCUAACACAAUCUUCCUUAGUAGACAGUUAUCUCAGAUACAGAUAACCUAUGUGGAGUUUGGUAGAUAUGUUAGCACCACGACAAAUGUUUUAGAGGUGAUGCAGCGGACGCAGCUAGACAUGUUGAGGAAGUUACAAAGAGUGAGUGUACAAAUAAGAGGGUUCCAACUAAGUGAUGAUCAGACGUACUAUGAACAAAGAACCAUCACUUACGCUUAUAAUCAAGUGCAUGAGUAGACAGUGCACUUUGAGAGUCAAUUGGAGAUGAUUGACCAAAAAUGAAGGCCAGAUGGUAAGGACUGCUAAGUCUUUCAGACCUACUAGUUUGUCCAGCCAGUCGGACCAACCUAAUUGACAGUGCACUUUGAGAGUCAAUUGGAGAUGAUUGACCAAAAAUGAAGGCCAAAUAGUAAGGACUGUCAAGUCUCUCAGACCUACUAGUUUGUCCAGCCAGUCGGACAAACCUAAUUCCUCCACUCAUCCGCAUCCACCCCAAGGAGUAUCUGAUCUCUUAUUCAUUUAUUUAUGAUUAAUUAAUUUUAUAUUGGGGCCAAUAUAGUAUUUUGUUUAGGGGUGGGGUAAGUAUCAUGAUAACUGUUAAUUAUACUUAAUUUUUCAACUACUGAUCGAGUCAGUUAUUAAUGACUAAGGAAAAAAUUUUGAAAAAUUAAAAUA